rnacentral:lncRNA from 1 species
GUACUUGUCCUUGCAUCCUUCCAAUACAGCAAGUGGCUUAGGCAGCCUUAAAUAUAUGGAACCCUUUGUUCAAACCUGAAUUCUGGUCCUUGUAACCACACCACCAGCAGGGAAGGCUAAUGAAGCAGCAGAGGGAGACAAGAUGGAUGAAUAUGGAGUUCCUCAGGAUUCAGGUAGUGUGGCCCAUUCAUGCCACGAACAUCCAAUCCUAAGUAUAUUAAUGUAUGCUGCUUGUUUCCCCCUUUUCUCGCUAUGUGUUUUAAGUUGAUUUAAUAAACUGUUGAUGUGAACAGUUUAA